rnacentral:miRNA from 1 species
AAGCCCAGAUGAACUUUUUG